ensembl:lncRNA
UGCCCCUGUCACAGCUCCUUUCAGCAUGGCCGGAGGUAACUCACUGCCACUUUGCUCGCAGCUAAUUAAAGUUUGUUCAGAUCCCAAGCUGCAAUGUGAAUACAGCCAAACCGCCGCGUUUUUGUUUGUCAUUAAGAGACUCAUUCGGGAUAAGUUUUGUGGAGGGCGGAGUUCACUAAUAUACGCUUAUGAGUUUUAGCCGAGAACGCAGCUAAAAUGCUAGCAUGCUAAGUUAGCCUGAUUGCUAGCGGCUACUCGCGGCAGUCUUUUUUUAACAGCAUGCACUCUUUUUUCCUUCGUCAGGAGAGGUGUACUGGCAGUCGCGUGACACACACAGAUCAGACACAUAUUUCUGUGUUGCAGGUAUGGAGAUGUUCUUAUGUUUUGGAGAUGCAGUCUUUCAUUCAUUGUUUUUAUAAGUACAGUGUUGUACUGCCUGUUAGAUGGCGGUUAUUAAUAUAAUUGUACUGAAGUAUAAUGUUUGAACUAUAAGUACCAGAAUAUUGGGUCCUGGUUAUUGAAUUGUAUUUAUCUGACUGUUUAUUUGUUUUUGAAUUAUUUUGUUUAUUGUUCUUAUAAGUUGUUUUUGAUGUUUUUUCAGUGACAUAUUAUUUAUUUUGUGCUUUUUGUUUUUGAGAGCUUAAGUUAAUGUUUUAAAACAAUUUGUUGUAUUUGAUUCAUUAUAUUAUUGUAGUGUUAAUGAAGCUGCAGACACAGCUGCUUUCAGCAUGGCCGGAGGAGAGGUGUACUGGCAGUCGCGUGACACACACAGAUCAGACACAUAUUUCUGUGUUGCAGAUGUGCAGUAAAGAGCCAAAGACCCAGUACUGUCUCCUGCCUCUUACUUUCACGCCAGAACACAACGCAAGAACAACAGGCGUAACACAUGAACGGGUUACACAUACUGAGAAGAGGAGGCGAGAGCAGAGAACGAGAGUGCAGCAGUUUGGUGAAAGGAACAGGUGAAGAAGAGGUGAGCAUCCAAGAGACGAGCAAGAGGACGGUUUCAAAGCAGACAUUAUGGCACAAUAAAAGCUUGAAAAGCUCACCUGAUGUAGUGGUGAGGCCAUGUUCACCACUAGAUGGAGACAACCUGGCACAGGCCUCCUCCUGUUUCACUGCCAUAUAUCCACCACCAGAGGGCUCCACUGACCUGCCUGCUGACAUCACAGCACACCCCUGUGUCAUGUGACCUGGCAGGAGUAGCAAAGCUGGACUCAGACCUGGCCCAGGCAAGUUCAAAGGCAG